rnacentral:rRNA from 1 species
CCUACGGGGGGCAGCAGUGGGGAAUAUUGCGCAAUGGGCGAAAGCCUGACGCAGCGACGCCGCGUGAGGGAUGAAGGUCUUCGGAUCGUAAACCUCUUUCAGCAGGGAAGAACGGUCACUGUGCUAAUCAGCAGUGAAUUGACGGUACCUGCAAAGGACGCACCGGCUAACUCCGUGCCAGCAGCCGCGGUAAUACGGAGGGUGCGAGCGUUAAUCGGAAUUACUGGGCGUAAAGCGCUCGUAGGCGGUAUGUCAAGUCAAGGGGGAAAUCCCCGCGCGCAACGUGGGAACUGCCUUUGAAACUGGCAAACUGGAGUGUGUGAGAGGAUAGUGGAAUUCCAGGUGUAGGAGUGAAAUCCGUAGAUAUCUGGAGGAACAUCAGUGGCGAAGGCGACUAUCUGGCACAUAACUGACGCUGAGGAGCGAAAGCGUGGGUAGCAAACAGGAUUAGAUACCCGGGUAGUC